UUUUUUUUUUUUUUUUUUUCGGUUUGUUGUAGAUUUUGGUUGAGUGAAAGAUGGUUUUUACAAUGGAGUUUGAUUUUUCAUUUUGAAUUAUUUUCCUAUAUAAUUGUGAAUUAAGAAGCCGAUGUAGAUGCCUGUGAAUACACAUCGAUGUUUUGUGUCUUCGUGCAGGAACAGUAUUACUGUUAAUCCUGAUGUGACAACAUUCAGAUUUCCAUGAAGCCGAAGCAAGUUAUUGAAGUGGAUUGCUGCAAUUGGCUAUGACCUUGAUGCCAGUAAUGCUGAAACAUUUAAAACUAAAUAUGUGUGUUCCGAACAUUUUGAUAUUGGAGCUUUCACUACAUGUGACUGCAUCAAAUUGAAUCGUGGUGCUGUUACAACAUAUUUUAAUUCUGUGGACAGUGAAGUAUGGAUCUAUUGUUAUAAUUUAUUAUGUCUAGAAUGCUGCCAAAUAUAGGUGAAAUGUUUAUGUUACAUAACAUAACUUGUAAGAUCUACUUGUGCAGAUAUAUAUUUUCACCUGCCUCUAAGGUCCUUUGUUAUUCACAGGUAGCAUUUACAUGUGAUGGGCUGAAGCAGUAUUUAACAUUAUUGGUCAACAUGCAGUCCAUCAUUACAACCUUUGUACAGGCGCAUACAAACAUAUAUGUAUGGGGUAUUUCACACUUUUUAUUUGAUGUUAAAGAUUGGUAUGGUGACCGGGAUACUUUUUUUUAUUAAACCUCCUACACAGUUCUCUACUGUUUCCCUUAUCUGUUGCCUUAACAUUUUUUUCCGAUCAGUCCAAUUCCUUGAAUCACGUUGCAAAAAAAGUCACAAUACAUGGGAUUGGGCCACUCUCUUCAAAGAAUUGUAAUUCGAGUUUAAACAUAGCAAGGCUGACCAUAAAUUGUAGAGGCAAAUUUAAAAUGUUGAUCUUCAACAUAUUUAUAACCUACUAGCUGACCCGGCGAACUUCGUACCGCCUUAGCGUAGCAAUGAUGCACUACUUUAUUUUGUAUAGCUGACCUAUCUUAGGUAUGAGUACCUAUUCAAUUUGAACUGGAAUCUAUAAUAUCCUCCAUAUUAAAAUGAAUCCAUAAUUCCCUGGUAUCACUAUAACUGAAAAGGACCUUACUAAUUUAAUUAAAUAAAAAACAAAAUAUAUAUUGUCAAAAUAGUGUUUAUUCCAUAGGAUUCAAUAAUUCCACUAAUGUUUUUACAAAUUGCUAUUGAACAACUUGGCAUUUUUAAGUAAACAAUUAGCUCAAUACCACGCGCGCUCUAUAAAUCAACUAAUAGUAUCUGUACCCCUCACUGCUUCUCUCUACUCUAAUGCUUUUUGAUAAACUAUAUUUUUAGUUUUAUGUUCUGGCGCGUAAAUAAAUAAUGUUGAUGGUUUUCCGACACGGGAACAGGCGACAUAUAAUUGGCCAUGUGAAAAACAUGGAUUUUCUAGUUUGAUGCCACAUACACUUAGCGACUGCCCUUGCGAUUUAUUUAUUGAUAUUGCAAAUGCAAGCCGCACUGGAAACUGUAAACGCUUAAAGCUGAAUGUCAUAAGGUUACUUUAAAAAUAUUUAUAUUGUACAAAGUGUUGGGUUAGUUUGGAAAUAAUUUUAUAUAUGGUGGUUCAGUAUUCUUAAAUUUUCUAAUUUUCCGUUAAAUUUUUUCUUUCAUAAGAACCUUCUCGUGACAAUAACAAACACAACAAAAAAAGAAUUAGUGAAAUCGGUUCAGUCAUUUACGCGUGAUGGCGUGACCAAGGGAAAUAGGAAUUCAUUAUUCUUAAAUUUUCUAAUUUUCCGCACAAUUUUCUUAAUUUUUUCUUUCAUAAGAACCUUCUCCUGACCAUAGCAAACACAACAAAAAAAACAAUUAGUGAAAUCGGUCCAGCCGUUCACGCGUGAUGCCGUGACCAAGGAAAACGGGUUUCAUUUUUAUAUAUAUAGAUGAUCAUGUGAUGUAUAUACAACUAGUUAGAAAGUAAGUUGUAGUAUAGUAUACAAUUGAACCUUCAAUAAGUUCUACAUCCACACUUAAAAACUUAUUUUUACUUGAUGUUUUAAGUUCAAUAACUAUUCAGUAUAAAGGUUUUUUUUUACAUUAUAAACUACAAAAGUAUUCAGAUUUGUAAAUGUAAUGAAAUUCCACUGAGCCCUCUACCUUUUUUUUAACUACCAUUUCUGCCUUGUGGCCUUGUUUUUCUUACUUUUGUGUUCAUUAUAAGUUACAACCACUCAUUUGAUUUAUUGUGUUAAAUUAAAUGAUAUUUAAAAUUGGAUGUCACUUCAUAAGAACAUCCAGGAUUACCUGUAUUCACAGCGCACAAUUAUACAAAAGUUUUUUAUGUAUGUAAAAGUGUUUUACGUAAGGCAGUGGACACAUACAUGUAUUGAGUAACAUGAGAAAAUUGAAAUAUCUAAAAUAAAAUUAAAAGGUUACAAGCUUUUAUAUACAUGCAGCUCCCAAAAAAGUCUGCAUACUAAAAAAUAACACAUGCUUUUAAAUGAAUUCUUACCAUCUUAUAAACUAGUAGUAUUUUGUUAUUUGGUUUCAAAUGAAUUGUUUUUGGUUAAUUUAUUUGACUGUAGGGAUUAAAUAUCAUUUGUAGAAUAAAGUGUGAAAAGUAGUAGGUAUUGAUCGAUUUAACUGUAAGUACAAAAUAUGUGUUACAUUUCUUGUAAGUUAAAAUUGUUCAGGUAUUAUAAAUUAGCUGGAAAAAGCAAACUCAUGACUAGAAUAAAUUGUACUGUUAGGUAUGUUUCGAAGAAAGACUACCUGUUGCAGUCGUUACCAUGUGUAUGUACCACAUUUUUAUUGUCAUGAUAACUGCCAUAAUUUUGUACAAAUAAAUCACUUAGUACAUAAAAUAUGGUUAUGGAAAUUUUGAUUUGAGGACAAAAAACUCCUAACUAUCUUAGAAGCACACCAUAGAAUCUGUUCAAAUUUGUUGUCAAUUUUAAAAAAUUUUAUAACCACCUGAUAACCACCAAGGGUGCUGUGGGUAAAAUAAUGAGGGGUUAAUGGACAAACAAAUAUUCUUAAUUACUCUAUUAAGUUAACUAUAAAAUCUAUAACAAUUAUUGCAAUUCUUCUAAAACUUGUAUAAAACUUUGAUCUGAAACAAUUUUUUUAGGAUUAACCAGUGCUGCAAGAAGUUGAAAAUACCAGUGGGUGGAAAUUAAAAAAAAAAAUAAUAAUAAAA